AAUCAACGCUGGCGGCGUGCCUCAGACAUGCAAGUCGAACGCGAAAGUCCCCUUCGGGGGACAAGUAGAGUGGCGCACGGGUGAGUAACACGUAGGUAAUCUACCUUCGGAUGGGGAAUAACAACCGGAAACGGUUGCUAAUACCGCAUAAUGCAGCGGCACCUAAUGGUGACAGUUGUUAAAGCGGGGGAUUGAAAGACCUCGCGUCUGAAGAGGAGCCUGCGGCGGAUUAGCUUGUUGGAGGGUAACGGCCUACCAAGGCGACGAUCCGUAGCCGGCCUGAGAGGGCGGUCGGCCACACUGACACUGACAUACGGGUCAGACUCCUACGGGAGGCAGCAGUCGGGAAUUUUGGGCAAUGGGCGAAAGCCUGACCCAGCAACGCCGCGUGAAGGAUGAAAUCCCU
rnacentral:rRNA from 1 species